rnacentral:lncRNA from 1 species
UUUAAGGCAACUCUUCAUAUCGAAACAAAAUACGACAUCAAUUUGGUAAGCUGGACAAUAGAGUAUGAAAGGCCAAAUGAAAAUGUCCCAGAACUAGUAAAUUUGUUGGACUUCAUUAUUGGUAUGACCAAAGCUAUUGAUGAUCACCAUGUCAAUUGAUAAUAUUGAUGGGAUCUCAUAUAUAUGCAUGUGAGCUUUACAUAAAUACCCCAUGCUAUGUGUAUUGUUUGAGAGUAUAUGGUAAAAAUAAUAAUCCAUAUGUUGGUUGUGUACUUUAAUUUUUAUUUGGUUUUUAUCUUUGGUGAUUUCAUGUUUGUUGUGCCUUCUCAUGUAACCUUUGUGUUGUGUAAUAAGACAUGGGUAUGAAGUUCAUAUUCGCCUCCUCCUAAUUUGUAUAGCGGUAUUUUAUUUUUAUUUUUCUGAAAAAAAGAUCAAAUAUAUUCUCGUACUAUCAGAAAUAGUUUUAAUAUUUAUAAUUUGACAUAUAAAUUUGCCUUCAUUUAGAUAUAAGAACAUGUGUAAAGUUCAAAAUCAAAUAAUCCGACCUCAAUUUUAAAUAGUCAAUUCAUUUAUAUUUAUUUUUUCAUUAUCAUCUUCUCUUUGAUUGUCUGCGAAUUGGAUUUACAUUUACUUAUCCACUAUGUUGCCAUAUCAUGAUGUCUCAAAUUAGUCCACAAGGCCUAGCUUGAGGCAAAACGUGAAGGAUUUAUGGCUUAGAUUGUAGAUUCAAGCCCCAUACCAUGCAAAGUGAAGCCCGGUAUUUAAAUGGAGAAGGGUAGAGGAGCGGACCCAUUUUCUCGAAUUUAGAAGAUUGUGAUUGGUCCAAAUGGCAAGUCACAAACGGAUUUCUCGAUUAUCAAAAAAUAUGUCUCAAAUUAUUGAUAGGUUGCGUUCCUGACAUAUUGUUGAAACGGAACAUCACGUUUAAGUUAUUAGAAGAAUAUUUUUCAAAAAAGGUUGUAAGAGUAAGAGAUUAGGGGAUCGUUGAAUGGAAUUAUGAAUUGAUUGAGCUUUUAGCUGAAUGUGUAAUUUAUGUUUUCAUAUAUUUCUUUUACAUUAUAUGAUUAUUAGAAGUUCCAUUCGUAAUUAUUACAAGAAUAAAAUUGCAAAUGGAAAAUAGCUUGUAGCUAACUAGUUGAAAGAUUCACAGUGGUUAUCUAUAUAUAUUGAUUAUAAAAUUGGAUGUAUCUAGUGAAUUAUACAAAUCAAAAGCUCCAUAGCAAACAUAAAAUUUGCUAUGGAGCGCAAUUAUGCAAACUAUAGUUAUAACAUACAAAUAUAAUUUUUAUGUUUUCUAUAUGUGAAAGUUGCUCAAUAAUAAACUAGCAGUAUGAGACAUGAUUAGGAUGUUAUACCAUCUUUGAUUUUUUUUAAAUGAUUUGAAAAAGAAAACACCUCUCCCUUCCCAUUUUCUAGUCUAUAUAUAUUGUUGAAUAAUCAUUGUGAAGGAUAACAACACUUCUCCUCUACAAUUUUCCUAUAGUGUCAUUACAUCUUUUUAUUGACAAAUCUUUAGUAAAAUGGGUCUAAAGUCUGUGUUGUGUGCCAAGAUAGAAAUGAAGGCUAAUAAGGAUGUGUUUCAUGAUGUCUUUACGAAUAAACCACACCAUGUCUCUACUAUGUGCCCUUUGCAUGUACAAGGUUGUGAGCUUCUUGAGGGUGACUUUGGAAGCAUUGGAUCCAAAAUUUGUUGGACGUAUACUCUUGGUAAGACAAAUAUUUAAAAAAUUUCUAACAAAAAUAUUUUUCGUUAAAAAGGGGAAAAUGACUUUCUGCUAGCUAUAGGUAGAGGGAGAGUACUAGCUAUAGAUUCUAAAAAAAUAAAAUAAGUUUCUUAAAAAUGAGAAAAAGAAAGUUUUAUAAAUGAUAUUUUAAGUUCAUUGUUUAUAUUCCCACACACUCAAUGCCCCCCGACCUCCAUCCCUUGAUCAUCCCCUCCCCCGUAAAAAACCCUAGCCCCCAAUCCUCACCUCCUACCCACCCCAUGGUGUUUUAUUGGUAGAUUACAUAUAUUUGCUUUUGAAAUAAUAUGUUUCUCUAUACUUAUCAAACACUAAAAAAUAAAUAAGAGAUUGAAUUAUACAUUUUUUAUGAAAAUAUUUUCCAACAUUACCAAACACAUCUUUAGAAAACAAACUCAUUAAAAAUAAGAAAAAGAUUUUCAUAAUGAAAAUAGGAAAACAAUUCGCAUAAUUCUCUCAUCCUUCACUGCCUCACAACCACCCACCACCCCCAAGCCCUCCCUUCACGCCCAACCCCCACACCCCCACCACAUCCUCAUAAUUUUAUUUUGUAUAUAUAUAAAUAAAUACUUUUUGAGAUAAUAUUUUAACUUGUAUAUUUCAAAUAGUAGAAAAUAAUUGAGAAAUCACUUGUUUUCCUUUCUACCCUUAAUGGCAACUCUAUUUGUUUUCUCUUUUGUUAAGGACUCUCAUGGUCAUAAUUUUGGGAAUAACUCUUUUUUUUUCGUGUAAGGCAGAUGGAGAAAAGAAGAUCUCCAAACAAGUAAUUGAAACUAUAGAUCAUGAAAACAAGGUGCUCACACUUAAAGAAUUUGAAGGUGAUCUAGUUGAUAAAUAUGAUAGUUGGAAGAUAACUCUUCAUAUCGAAACAAAAGGCGAAAUUGAUUUGGUAUGUUGGACAAUGGAGUAUGAAAGACCAAAUGAGAAUGUCCCUGAGCUUAUAAAUUUGCUGGACUUUAUUGUUAGUAUGUCCAUAGCUAUUGAUGAUCAUCAUGUCAAGAUGAAUUGAUGAGAUCAUAUAUAUGCAUGUGAGGUUUAUAUAAGUAAUUAAAUAGCUGUUUGUUUGUUGUUUGAGAUUAUGGUAAAAAAAUAAUCCAUGUUUGAGAGUAAGUACGUUUUAUUUGGUUUUAACACUGGUAAUUUGAUGUUUGUUGUGUCUUUCCCAUGUGAGUGAUACGUUAUCAACUAUGUAAUCUUUGUGUGGUGUAAUAAGACAUGGGUAUCAAGUUUAUAUAUUACUCCUAAUUUACAUAGCGAUAUUUUAUUUUUAUUUUUAUUUUUUCUGAAAAUGAUCAAAUAUAUUCUUAUAUUAUCAUAAAUAGUCGAAAUAUGCUUUUUAUUCUUGUAAUUUGGCAUUUAAAUUUACCCUUUUAAGUUAGAUUUACAAGCCAAAGAUCACAAGCACUACGGUGAAUCGGAAGACAAUUGGGGAUGCUUGUAAGCUUAACACAGAUAGAAGACAAGAUUAAUAUGUUAUUUAUGCCACGUAAGAUAUGUGUGUGUCUAUUUGUUUAAUCUUAUAUAAAUUUAAAUGUCUACUUGUUCAUAUUUAGGGAAUUUAAAUGUUGCCCUUUUGAUUCUCAAUUUAUUUUUAUUGUCUUUUUGGAAUUUUUGGCUAAUUUUUUUGCCCUUUAGACUCCGAACUGGGGGAUAAAUAUUACCCAAUACUUUUCUUGAUAUAUAUAUAAAUAUAUAAUUUGAGAUUCAUAUCUAUAGUUUGGUCAUAGAGCAGUGUUGAAGCUGAAUGAUAUAUACUAGAAAAAUACAUCUCCUAGUUUUUUUUCCUCUUGUAAUUUUCAGAGGAUAAGAAACAUCAUCGCUUAAAGAUGAGACCUAGCUUCCUACAUAACUUUUAUAAAUCUUUAUCUAUUUUCCAUGUUCAUUCAUUUAAGGAAAUGAAUACUUGAAACAUCACUUUAUUUCAUAUGAAAAUUUUGUUUUUAGCUAAUGCAUAUGCCUAGUUCUUCAUUUUUCAUUAUAAACAUUUCUUUUUAGAAAAUAAUAUCCUCGAGAAGUGGUUGAAACAUAAUUGCAUAGUAUAUAUUACUUUGUUGAUGUGACAUUCUUUUUUUUUUUGGUCCGUUCUAAAAAAAAUGUCAUUUUACUAUAAUUAGAAAUAAUUUAACUUUAAAAUUUCAUUUUUACCCUUAAUGAAAUGAAUCUCAACCACACAAAUAUCCAAGAAUUGUUUUAGACCAUAAGUUUCAAAAAAAUUUCUUUUUUUCUUAAACACCAUGUCAAGUCAAAGGGUGUCACAUAAAAUGGAAUGGAGGGAAUAAAUUAGUACUGCUACAAGUGCAUGAAAAAUGAAAUUUAUGCCACUUUCUUGAGAAAUCGUGUAGUUGUAAAAAAAAAAUUACAAGUCGUAAGGGACAUGAUUAGGAUGUUAUACCAUAUCUUUGACUUUAAAAAAGGAUUUUAAAAGAAUAAAGCAUCUCCCCCUUCCCAUUUCUAGUUUAUAUAUAAUGUUGAAUAAUCAUAUAUAGUAAAGGAUAUCAACACUUCUCCUCUACAAUUUUCCUAUAGUGUCACUACAUCUUUUUGUUUCCAUUAUCUUUUAGUAAAAUGGGUCUAAAGUCUGUGUUGUCUGCUAAGAUAGAAAUGAAAGCUAAUAAGAAUGUGUUUCAUGAUAUCUUUACAAAUAAAUCACACCAUGUCUCUACUAUAUCCCCUUUGCAUGUACAAGGUUGUGAGCUUCUUGAGGGUGUCUUUGGAACCGUUGGAUCCAAAAUUUGUUGGACGUAUACAGUUGGUAAGUUGAAUAUUUAAAAAUUUCUUAACAAAAAUAUUUUUCGUCAAAAAGGGGUUGGAACUUUUCGCUAGGGACGGAGGGAGAGUAUAUUAGCAAUCGGUUCAAACAAACCGAGUAGCUAUUGCUUAGAUCAUGUACUUGUGUUAGGAAUUUCAUUAAAUAUGUAUGAAUAUUUAAGUGUGAAUUCAAUAACUAUGACGAGGUAGUGGGUUCAGUAACAAACUCAAAACACAUUAACUUCAAACCUUAGUCCGAUCUUUGCUUUCCAUUUAUGAAAUCAUUUUCCUCUAUCUUAGUGUCAUAUUUACUUGCUCCAAUUAACAAUUAAAUAUCAUAAUUAUUAUAGAGUCAUAAAUCUUUCCUACAAGUAAAAGGACUAGAAAGAAUUUGUAUUUUCCUUUUAGAAAAAGAAAAAUCUAAUUACAGUAAGAAACUCAGGACAAAUAUCCAACAUACCCCCACUCUCACCCAACGUAACCCCCAACACCUGCACUUCCCUCCAUCACUCAUCCCAUCCUCAUAAUUUUGUCUUAGAUAUAGAGAUGUUUUUAAAUAAAAUAUUUUACUUGCAUAUCGAACACAAGAAAAUAAAUAGAAAACCACUUACUUUUCUAAAAUUAAAACCUUUUUCAAAUCUACCAACAUGGCAACUCUAUUUGGUUACUCAUUUCCAACUUCUUCUUUUCUUAAAUCUUAAGGACUCUUAUGAUUUAUCCAUGAUGAAAUUUGGGAAUAACUCUUUUAUUUUUGUAAGGUAGAAGGGGAAAAGAAGAUCUCCAAACAAGUAGUUGAAGCUAUAGAUCAUGAAACAAAGAUGCUCACACUCAAAGAAUUUGAAGGAGAUCUAGUGAAUAUAUAUGAUAAUUUUAAGUCAACUCUUCAUAUCGAAACAAAAUACGAAAUUGAUUUGAUAAGCUGGACAAUAGAGUAUGAAAGGCCAAAUGAAAAUGUCCCAGAACUAGUAAAUUUGCUGGACUUCAUUAUUGGUGUGGCCAAAGCUAUUGAUGAUCACCAUGUCAAUUGAUAAGUUGAUGGGAUCUCAUAUAUAUGCAUGUGAGUUUUACAUAAAUACCCUAUGCUAUGUUUAUUGUUUGAGAGUAUAUGGUAAAAAUAAUAAUCCAUAUGUUGGUUGUGUACUUUAAUUUUUAUUUGGUUUUUAUCUUUG